rnacentral:rRNA from 1 species
CUUAUGCCGGCGACCGGCGGACGGGUGCGUAACGCGUAUGUAACCUACCUUUGACAGGGGGAUAACAUCGAGAAAUUGGUACUAAUACCCCAUAACAUCACCGGAGGCAUCUUCGGUGGUUGAAAACUCAGGUGGUCAGAGAUGGACAUGCGUUGUAUUAGCUAGUUGGUGAGGUAACGGCUCACCAAGGCGACGAUACAUAGGGGGACUGAGAGGUCAACCCCCCACAUUGGUACUGAGACACGGACCAAACCCCUACGGGAGGCAGCAG